rnacentral:rRNA from 1 species
CCUACGGGAGGCAGCAGUGAGGAAUAUUGGUCAAUGGACGAGAGUCUGAACCAGCCAUGUAGCGUGAAGGAUGACUGCCCUAUGGGUUGUAAACUUCUUUUAUAUGGGAAUAAAAUGUUCCACGUGUGGGAUUUUGUAUGUACCAUAUGAAUAAGGAUCGGCUAACUCCGUGCCAGCAGCCGCGGUAAUACGGAGGAUCCGAGCGUUAUCCGGAUUUAUUGGGUUUAAAGGGAGCGUAGGUGGAUUGUUAAGUCAGUUGUGAAAGUUUGGGGCUCAACCGUAAUAUUGCAGUUGAAACUGGCAGUCUUGAGUACAGUAGAGGUGGGCGGAAUUCGUGGUGUAGCGGUGAAAUGCUUAGAUAUCACGAAGAACUCCGAUUGCGAAGGCAGUUCACUGGACUGCAACUGACACUGAGGCUCGAAAGUGUGGGUAUCAAACAGGAUUAGAUACCCGUGUAGUC